rnacentral:rRNA from 1 species
UGCUGAAAACAUGGCCUUCACCUGAUUCAGCAGCUAAGCACAUUUUGGUCUGGUUAGUACUUGGAUGGGAGACCACAGGGGAAGUAACAACCAUUUCCACAC